CAUUAAAGCUUACUCUGACCAUUGUGUUGAAAUCUGACUUAAGCAUUAGAGUCUCUAUGACACAUGCACUACAUCGGUGUAUUAUUAUUAUUUUUUUUUACUGUUUUGUAGGUUCUCUCUUUCUCAAAUUAUGAUUUUAUCGUUGAUGGCAUGUGAUGGUCAGAUUGAAGAUUGAAGGCGAAGAUGGAGAUUGAAAAUUAAAGAUGAAGAUGAAGAUUGUAAUCGUUUAUGGAAAUUUUUGUUUGUUAAUUUUCACUGUAUGUGUUGUCUAUUGAAGGCACACAAAUUUACUUUCUUAAACUUUUAGUUUAUCUAAA